GCCGGCUUAGCUCAGUGGUAGAGCACCCGCCUUGUAAGCGGAAGGUCCUCCGUUCAAUCCGGAGAGCCGGCA
rnacentral:tRNA from 1 species